GGGGCUGGUGGCCACACCCCGUUGUGGGGUGCGGGGUUGUGGGCGGGAACUGGGGAAGGGGGGCUGAGAGCAAGCCCCCUCCCCAGGAAGCCUCCCGCGCAGCUGCACCCGCCCGCUCCGGGAAGGUGGGGGACUAGCUGGGGCCGAGGACCCGCCGCUGCGCCCCUGGCUCCCGCGGGGGUGGCAGGGUCUGCAUCCCGGGCCCCCAGGGUCCGGGCGGGAGGCCGCGGGGUGCCGGGAGCUCAGUGCGGGGCGCCUGAAGCCGCCAACCCGGAGGAGGGAAGGGGAGAGAGGCGGCGCGGGAGCCCGAGAGCCCGGGAGCCGAGGGGCCCAGCGGCCGCCGCGACGCUGCCGAGGGGCGCCCGGACCCGCCGCCCGCGCCUCCCCGCCCCGCCCGGGGCCUCCGGGGCCUGCGCUCCCCACCCCCGGGCCCCGGGCCCCACAGCCCCCCGCUCCCGCGAGCCCCUGCCCUCCUGCUGGCCCGGGCUGCUCCGAGCCCCUCCGACCGGCUCAGUCGGGCACUCGGCUGCAAGGUGGAUAUAAUGCGCGCCCUCCAGGAAGAAGGUUGGAGGAUGCAGACCUGGACACCCGACUUGACUCAACCUGCUGAUCUGGGGAGUUAGGGAAGGCUUUCAGAAGGAGGUGAGCUCCCGGCUGCACCCCGAAGGUUGAGCUGGAGUUAGCCGGGUGAAGGGAAAGUCAGCCACGUUUCAGGUGGAAUUGUGGGGGGCAUCAUGUUCACCUGACCACACCUGGUGAGUUCAGCUCCGCUUGAGCAAAAUCAAGGGGGGCACGGAAGAAGCCAGCCAGGAGGGCAGCAGUGGGGCACCCAGGAGGGAUGCAGCUGUGAGGGAGAGAUCGGGAGGGGUGGGCGGGAUAGCCAUGGGGUUGAACAGGAAGGGAUGGAUUGUAGAGAUCCUCAGAUGGAAGAAUCUGCAGGGACUGGUGAUGGAUUGGCUUGGAAAGGUGUGGAGGAAGGCCAGAGCGAGAAGGGAGAGCGAGGGUGAACCCCGGGUUUCUGGUUGGGAGUCUGGGCUUUGGGGGAGAAGGUGAAGUUUCAGGAGCCUGUUUCCAAGUGGGAGAGAAUACUUCCAGAAGGGAGGCUUGAGUUGGGCCAAAGCUGUGGUAGCUAAGGACUGAACUGCAGGGAGGCAGCUAGUGGCCCCGGAGGGAGCCGUGCGAUGGGACAGAAAACAGACUGGAGUAGAAUGAGUCUUCCCGAGGUAAAGUGUAGACAGGCAGGGAGUGUAGACCGUGCUUGGAAGGAGGGGAGAGGGUGUUAAGUGGAGGCAGAUGUGGGGUAGAAGGAGGGUCUGGUUGUGUUCUAGGAUGGCAGAGGCAUGAGUGCUUCCAGGAGGAGGUGCAGGCACAGUGAGGGGGCCCCCAAUGAGCACUGCCCCGGCAGGGGGCGGGUUCCCCGGAGCCUUGAAGGCCUGAGUGAUCCAGAGACGUGCCAGCUGGUGAUCUGCUUUUCACCUGUGAGGCUUAGCAGUUUGGGCAUAGACUUGGAGGAAGCAGCCCCACUGAGGUAGAGUGGCCUUUG
rnacentral:lncRNA from 12 species